AACGAACGCUGGCGGCGUGCCUAACACAUGCAAGUCGAACGAGAAAGGGGCUUCGGCUCCGAGUAAAGUGGCGCACGGGUGAGUAACACGUGGGUAACCUGCCUCUAAGAUUGGGAUAACUCGUCGAAAGAUGAGCUAAUACCGAAUAAGACCACAGUUCCCGCGGGAACAGGGGUCAAAGGUAGCCUCUGCUUGCAAGCUAUCACUUAGAGAUGGGCCUGCGCACCAUUAGCUAGUUGGUAGGGUAACGGCCUACCAAGGCAAAGAUGGUUAGCUGGUCUGAGAGGAUGAACAGCCACACUGGAACUGGGACACGGUCCAGACUCCUACGGGAGGCAGCAGUGGGGAAUAUUGCGCAAUGGGCGAAAGCUUGACGCAGCAACGCCGCGUGAGUGAUGAAGGCCUUCGGGUCGUAAAGCUCUGUCGGGAGGAACGAAUGCUCCUGAGGUUAACAGCCUCGGGAGGUGACGGUACCUUCAAAGGAAGCACCGGCUAACUCUGUG
rnacentral:rRNA from 1 species